AAAGUACCUGGACCUCUAUGCCCAUGCUUCUAGCAGCCAGCCUCCUAAAAUACCUCUAGUUGAAGCCAAAGUUAGAAUCCUUCUACGAAACUACAGGAUUAAAAUGGAAUGGUUACAUGACCCAGGCUUGACCAAUCAGAUCAUCCAAACCCUUUGCCACAGUGAUUGGUCCAGGGAUACAUGCAUGAGCCAGCUCAGGUGGCAUUGUAUUAUGCGCCAAGAGUGAACCAGAUAGAGGAAGUUGCUCCUUAAGCUUGCAGGUCUGAAAGAACAAGGAAUUGCCUCUCUUCAAAGAUAAGAAGUCCAGCCACUUCUUUAAUUUAUCGGAUUAUAAGGCCUAAGCCACACUCAUCUUGUGGAUGACACUGGAGCUGUGACAGUCUGUUCUGUCCAGGCAGGGUGUCUUUUAUUUUUAUUGGAAAUAAGAUUAUCACAGCCCUUUGAGAGCUUCUGUGUCUCAACAUCAGAAAAUCAUCCUAGAUCCAUACUUGUACACAACAGUCUGUGCCAGUGAGAUUCAUUCUUUUGGGAGCUCUGCUAAUAAUGCACGAAUUGCUGGCUGUUGAUACUCUUUCUCAU
rnacentral:lncRNA from 10 species